rnacentral:misc_RNA from 1 species
AACGCACAUUGCGCCUGCCAGUAUUCUGGCAGGCAUGCCUGUUCGAGCGUCAUUUCAACCCUCAAGCCCUGGCUGCUUGGUGUUGGGGCAUUCUACAGCAUUUUGUAGGCCCCGAAAGACAGUGGCGGUCUCGCUAAGACUCCGAGCGUAGUAGUUUAUUUCUCGCUUAGGGUGUCUGUGUGAGUGCCAGCCGUUAAACCCCAUACUUUUACAGUAGUUUGACCUCGGAUCAGGUAGGAAUACCCGCUGAACUUAA